CCUCUACUCAGAAUGCCGACUGGGGAGGUGCCGUCCAGAUCCUACAUUCUUAUUUGAAUCUAUUUUUGUUUUUCUUUCUUGAUCCCUAGAGGAAACUGGGAGCCAGCAGCCCACAAUGCUAGAGCGAUAUCAAACAACUCAGCAGAUGACCCCGGAAGGAUGAGUCAUAUGCCUGCUUCCAGCACAGAAGCCGGAUUAGCCCCGACUAGUGCGCAGCAGAAGGUUUUCUUUAUAAAGCUUUGGAAUUAAAAUGGAUAUCCCAGAUUUCCAUGGCCCGGUUGUACUUCUCAUCCAGGAAUUUAAAGCUGAAUGUAAAAGAGUGAAUUAUAACUUGUAAGUCUUUAAGCACAAUGUUGAAUAAACCUUACGUUAAUUA